rnacentral:rRNA from 1 species
GAACCUGAAACCGUGUACGUACAAGCAGUGGGAGCCUCUUUAUGGGGUGACUGCGUACCUUUUGUAUAAUGGGUCAGCGACUUAUAUUCUGUAGCAAGGUUAACCGAAUAGGGGAGCCGAAGGGAAACCGAGUCUUAACUGGGCGUUAAGUUGCAGGGUAUAGACCCGAAACCCGGUGAUCUAGCCAUGGGCAGGUUGAAGGUUGGGUAACACUAACUGGAGGACCGAACCGACUAAUGUUGAAAAAUUAGCGGAUGACUUGUGGCUGGGGGUGAAAGGCCAAUCAAACCGGGAGAUAGCUGGUUCUCCCCGAAAGCUAUUUAGGUAGCGCCUCGUGAAUUCAUCUCCGGGGGUAGAGCACUGUUUCGGCAAGGGGGUCAUCCCGACUUACCAACCCGAUGCAAACUGCGAAUACCGGAGAAUGUUAUCACGGGAGACACACGGCGGGUGCUAACGUCCGUCGUGAAGAGGGAAACAACCCAGACCGCCAGCUAAGGUCCCAAAGUCAUGGUUAAGUGGGAAACGAUGUGGGAAGGCCCAGACAGCCAGGAUGUUGGCUUAGAAGCAGCCAUCAUUUAAAGAAAGCGUAAUAGCUCACUGGUCGAGUCGGCCUGCGCGGAAGAUGUAACGGGGCUAAACCAUGCACCGAAGCUGCGGCAGCGACACUAUGUGUUGUUGGGUAGGGGAGCGUUCUGUAAGCCUGCGAAGGUGUACUGUGAGGUAUGCUGGAGGUAUCAGAAGUGCGAAUGCUGACAUAAGUAACGAUAAAGCGGGUGAAAAGCCCGCUCGCCGGAAGACCAAGGGUUCCUGUCCAACGUUAAUCGGGGCAGGGUGAGUCGACCCCUAAGGCGAGGCCGAAAGGCGUAGUCGAUGGGAAACAGGUUAAUAUUCCUGUACUUGGUGUUACUGCGAAGGGGGGACGGAGAAGGCUAUGUUGGCCGGGCGACGGUUGUCCCGGUUUAAGCGUGUAGGCUGGUUUUCCAGGCAAAUCCGGAAAAUCAAGGCUGAGGCGUGAUGACGAGGCACUACGGUGCUGAAGCAACAAAUGCCCUGCUUCCAGGAAAAGCCUCUAAGCAUCAGGUAACAUCAAAUCGUACCCCAAACCGACACAGGUGGUCAGGUAGAGAAUACCAAGGCGCUUGAGAGAACUCGGGUGAAGGAACUAGGCAAAAUGGUGCCGUAACU